GGAAUAUUGGUCAAUGGGCGAGAGCCUGAACCAGCCAAGUAGCGUGCAGGAAGACGGCCCUAUGGGUUGUAAACUGCUUUUAUACGGGGAUAAAGUGACCCACGUGUGGGUUUUUGUAGGUACCGUAUGAAUAAGGACCGGCUAAUUCCGUGCCAGCAGCCGCGGUAAUACGGAAGGUCCGGGCGUUAUCCGGAUUUAUUGGGUUUAAAGGGAGCGCAGGCUGAUGAUUAAGCGUGACGUGAAAUGUAGCCGCUCAACGGCUGAACUGCGUCGCGAACUGGUUAUCUUGAGUGAGUUCGAUGUUGGCGGAAUUCGUGGUGUAGCGGUGAAAUGCUUAGAUAUCACGAAGAACUCCGAUUGCGAAGGCAGCCGGCGAGUCCUCAACUGACGCUAAUGCUCGAAAGUGCGGGUAUCGAACA
rnacentral:rRNA from 1 species